rnacentral:ncRNA from 1 species
AUAAAAACAAUGAUAGGGAAGAGUAAAUGGAGAAAGGUUUUAAAGAGAGUGAGAUUAGGUGAAAGCUCACAAACUGGAAUCUAUUGAAAAUCACCCUUAAGUUGCAGGCUGAAUUAAUUAAGCUGUGCCGGCGUAAGUCGUUAUUUGAUUGAGUAAAAUAUUUGGGUGGUACCGCGACUAAACUUCUCGCCCCAGUG